rnacentral:rRNA from 1 species
AGGACGAACGCUGGCGGCGUGCUUAACGACAUGCAAGUCGAGCGGAAAGGCCCUUCGGGGUACUCGAGCGGCGAACGGGUGAGUAACACGUGAGUAAUCUGCCCUUAGCUCUGGGAUAGCUCCGGGAAACCGGGAUUAAUACCAGAUACGACCACUUUAGACAUCUGCCGUGGUGGAAAGAAUUUCGGCUAAGGAUGAGCUCGCGGCCUAUCAGCUUGUUGGUGGGGUAACGGCCUACCAAGGCGACGACGGGUAGCCGGCCUGAGAGGGCGACCGGCCACACUGGGACUGAGACACGGCCCAGACUCCUACGGGAGGCAGCAGUGGGGAAUAUUGCGCAAUGGGCGAAAGCCUGACGCAGCGACGCCGCGUGGGGGAUGAAGGCCUUCGGGUUGUAAACCCUUUCAGCAGGGACGAAGCGAAGUGACGGUACCUGCAGAAGAAGCGCCGGCUAACUACGUGCCAGCAGCCGC